GACGAACGCUGGCGGCGUGCUUAACACAUGCAAGUCGAACGGAAAGGCCCUGCUUUUGUGCGGUGCUCGAGUGGCGAACGGGUGAGUAACACGUGAGUAACCUGCCCUUGACUUUGGGAUAACUUCAGGAAACUGGGGCUAAUACCGGGUAGGAUCUCCUGCUGCAUGGUGGGGGUUGGAAAGUUUCGGCGGUUGGGGAUGGACUCGCGGCUUAUCCGCUUGUUGGUGGGGUAGUGGCUUACCAAGGCUUUGACGGGUAGCCGGCCUGGGAGGGUGACCGGCCACAUGGGGCCUGAGAUACGGCCCAGACUCCUACGGGAGGCAGCAGUGGGGAAUAUUGCACAAUGGGGGGAAGCCUGAUGCAGAAACGCCGCGUGCGGGAUGACGGCCUUCGGGUUGUAAACCGCUUUCGCCUGUGACGAAGCGUGAGUGACGGUAAUGGGUAAAGAAGCACCGGCUAACUACGUG
rnacentral:rRNA from 1 species